UUUGCUUCAGGGUGAGGGUUACUUUAUGGACUGUGUUUUUAGCUUGUUCUCAUGGUUUAAAUGUAAAACAUUAAUGCACAAAAUGAACACAAUAGUUCUAUGAAAAGUUGGUCCUAGAACUCGGUCUUUUUGUUCUCCUUCCCAUAUGUGCCAAGGUUGUAGUGCUAACCUUAGCCUUUGGAAAAAAAAAAAAAAAAGAAAGAAAAAGAAAAAAGGAAUAACCUGAGCUGAGAUGCUGUGUGAAAUAAUUAGUCAGCUGCAUGCAUUUUUGCUUUGAGAAAUCUGUCUGGACAGUGAGUUUAUAGGGGUGUGCUAGUAGCUUGGGUUCAGGUGCAAUAGGUCUCUUCUUUUACUCAACUUCAACAUGAAGGGGGAUGUGUUUAUAAACAAGAUUCUGGGAGUUCUCAGACUUUCAGUUGAGACUGAAGAUGAUUAAUGCCUCCCUUAUUUCUAUUUUAUUGCAGAGAAAAGUGUUUUAUGCUUGAAUUUUCUGGCACCAGUUCCUGUGGCUUUAAAGAAAAGUGCCACUGUGAGAGAAGUCUGGAAAACCUUAGAAGUGGACCGGUGCAGGAAAUAUCGAGAUGGGCUGAGCCAUGACCAGGAGGUUUGUAUUGGCAAACUUAAUGUUUUCUUAAGCGACCCAAGAAUCUGGUCUGUUAUUAUCUUCCUCCUCUUCCUGUUACUCUUCCUCGCAGUGGGGUGGGGGAGAAAACUGAAAAGUGCAAGAGCUUGUGGGUUGAGUGGGCAAUUUAAUAAGAAAGAAGAAAAGGAAAAAGAAAGAAAACAACCACCAACACAGUAAUAGCAGAAAGGAU
rnacentral:lncRNA from 1 species